GUCCGCAUGGCAAAUCACUGCAACUCCUUCGAAUUCAGUAAAUCGGAAAGAUGCAACGAUUACACUUUCAAUAAGUGACUCAAGUAUAACAGGCAAAGUGAAGUCUUAUGAUUGGAAAUGUAAGGAUUGUAAAUGUGAAGCAAAAUCAGAACAAUCAACACAAACCAUUCCAGGAAACUGUCUGCCAGAUCCAUUAAGCUUUCACAGCUAUGAGUUGAAGCUGAAGUUGGAGACGGAAAUUCAGGAAACGGCAUCCAUAUGCAUCACCCUGACCCCCACCUUAGAUGAGUCGGAUCAAGUGAGUUUCAGUUGCAUUGAAAAUUGUGACCCAGUGACGCAUUCAAAGGACACAAAAGUUAAAAUGGUGUGCAGGUCUUGUUCAGAUUAUGCAUGGUUCUUGGAGGAG